rnacentral:rRNA from 1 species
AUGAAGCAAUCGAUUUCGAUUGACUGGCGCCGUGCAUACGACGGGCGUGGGAAGCUGCGGGAGGUGUGCCGCGUUCGAGAGCCGCUGUGGAUUAUCUUCGAGGUGUCAGGCGACAUUCGCCUCGAGACCUACCUCCGGGUUUCUUCCCAUAUGACCAUUGACGGGCGCGGAUGGUGCGUGCAGCUUGCCUCUGAACUUGUGAUGUCCGGCCAUUGCAUCUGGGAGGAGCUCCUCUUCAGGAAGAAUGCCGACACGCAACUGCGAAGGCAAAAUCUACAUGUGAGAAGUGCAGAUGAGCCCAGUUGUGCUAAUUACCCGGCUGAGUAG